GACGAACGCUGGCGGCGUGCUUAACACAUGCAAGUCGAACGGAAAGGCCCUGCUUUUGUGGGGUGCUCGAGUGGCGAACGGGUGAGUAACAAGUGAGUAACCUGCCCUUGACUUUGGGAUAACUUCAGGAAACUGGGGCUAAUACCGGAUAGGAGCUCCCGCUGCAUGGUGGGGGUUGGAAAGUUUCGGCGGUUGGGGAUGGACUCGCGGCUUAUCAGCUUGUUGGUGGGGUAGUGGCUUACCAAGGCUUUGACGGGUAGCCGGCCUGAGAGGGUGACCGGCCACAUUGGGACUGAGAUACGGCCCAGCCUCCUACGGGAGGCAACAGUGGGAAAUAUUGCACAAUGGGCGGAAGCCUGAUGCAGCAACGCCGCGUGCGGGAUGACGGCCUUCGGGUUGUAAACCGCUUUCGCCUGUGACGAAGCGUGAGUGACGGUAAUGGGUAAAGAAGCACCGGCUAACUACGUG
rnacentral:rRNA from 1 species